rnacentral:rRNA from 1 species
UUCAUAACCCUUUGUUGUCCGACUCUGUUGCCUCCGGGGCGACCCUGCCUUCGGGCGGGGGCUCCGGGUGGACACUUCAAACUCUUGCGUAACUUUGCAGUCUGAGUAAACUUAAUUAAUAAAUUAAAACUUUUAACAACGGAUCUCUUGGUUCUGGCAUCGAUGAAGAACGCAGCGAAAUGCGAUAAGUAAUGUGAAUUGCAGAAUUCAGUGAAUCAUCGAAUCUUUGAACGCACAUUGCGCCCCCUGGUAUUCCGGGGGGCAUGCCUGUUCGAGCGUCAUUUCACCACUCAAGCCUCGCUUGGUAUUGGGCAACGCGGUCCGCCGCGUGCCUCAAAUCGACCGGCUGGGUCUUCUGUCCCCUAAGCGUUGUGGAAACUAUUCGCUAAAGGGUGUUCGGGAGGCUACGCCGUAAAACAACCCCAUUUCUAAGGUUGACCUCGGAUCAGGUAGGGAUACCCGCUGAACUUAAGCAUAUCAAUAAGCGGAGGAAAAGAAACCAACAGGGAUUGCUCUAGUAACGGCGAGUGAAGCAGCAAUAGCUCAAAUUUGAAAUCUGGCGUCUUCGACGUCCGAGUUGUAAUUUGUAGAGGAUGCUUCUGAGUAACCACCGACCUAAGUUCCUUGGAACAGGACGUCAUAGAGGGUGAGAAUCCCGUAUGCGGUCGGAAAGGUGCUCUAUACGUAGCUCCUUCGACGAGUCGAGUUGUUUGGGAAUGCAGCUCUAAAUGGGAGGUAAAUUUCUUCUAAAGCUAAAUAUUGGCCAGAGACCGAUAGCGCACAAGUAGAGUGAUCGAAAGAUGAAAAGCACUUUGGAAAGAGAGUUAAAAAGCACGUGAAAUUGUUAAAAGGGAAGGGAUUGCAACCAGACUUGCUCGCGGUGUUCCGCCGGUCUUCUGACCGGUCUACUCGCCGCGUUGCAGGCCAGCAUCGUCUGGUGCCGCUGGAUAAGACUUGAGGAAUGUAGCUCCCUCGGGAGUGUUAUAGCCUCUUGUGAUGCAGCGAGCGCC